GAUGAAGAACGUAGCGAAAUGCGAUACUUGGUGUGAAUUGCAGAAUCCCGCGAAUCAUCGAGUUUUUGAACGCAAGUUGCGCCCGAAGCCAUUCGGCCGAGGGCACGUCUGCCUGGGUGUCACGCAUCGUUGCCCCCCCAAACUCCGGUUCGGGCGGGGCGGAAGUUGGCCUCCCGUGCGUGCCUGCGCGCGCGGUUAGCCCAAAAGCGAGUCCUCGGCGACGAGCGCCACGACAAUCGGUGGUUUUUUUACCCUCGUUCCUCGUCGUGCGUGUCCCGUCGCCCGAACGCGCUCUUGUGACCCUCACGCGUCGCCUCGGCGGCGCUCCCAACGCGACCCAGGUCAGGCGGGACUACCCGCUGAGUUUAAGCAUAUCAAUAAGCGGAGGA
rnacentral:misc_RNA from 1 species